rnacentral:sRNA from 1 species
GUUGGACAUGGUGGUGCAUGCCUGUAGUCCCAGCUACUCAAAAGGGUGAGGCAGAAGAUUGCUUGAGUCCAGGAAUCUGGGGCCAGCCUGGGCAACAUAGUGAGAUCCCCAUCUCU